AGCCUUCUUUCACUUCAUCUUGAGAAGUUCCUACGUUCUGAGAAACGUUUGUCACAGUACACUGCAGAGGGAUCUUCACUCCAGUGAAGUCUGUUUAUCCAGUGAAGUCCUGUGGGAUACUUUAAAGAAAGAACUCUUGCCUCAUUUAGCUGAUGGAAAGUAAGGGAAAUAAAAAGCAAAAAGAGGAAAAGAGAUAAGAGGACGGAUGCAUGAUCAGACGAGGGAACACAGAAUGGAACAUGCAAAUGGAAAAGAAAUAGAAAAAUGGAGCUGAGCGUAAAGGGACCCAGAAAACUUGCAGCAAAAGAAAUGAGUAAGGCAGCACCUGGAAUCAACCAGCAAUCUCUGCAAGAAGUCUAAGGAACCAGGUAUCCUAGAAUUGGAAACUAACCGAGGGUGGAAGGAACUGCUGGAGAUCAUCUAGUUUAACCCCAGCUCCUGAAGCAGGCUCAGCUAGAGCAGGUCGCACAGGACUGUCAUUGGGUUUUGAGUAUCCCCAAGGAUGAAGAUUCCACAGGCUCUCUAGACUACCUGCUUCAUCUCUCAUCUUCCUACUGGGUACCACUGAGAAGAGUGUGGCUCCAGUGUCUUUACAUGCUCCCAUCAGUGACUAAGCAUCUAAUUUGAAUCAACUGUGGGAGAAAAGAGGAUUGAAGGAACUGUGACAGCUGGAAACUUCUUGAAUGAAACCAGUUCUGAUACUUGUGCAGCAUUUGGCACCUACUGUAAACAUACCAAUGGCUUUCCAUUGCUACAGAAGGGAUAGAUGCAAUGCCUUGCCUGUGUAUGAAGCUAUAGUCUAUAACUGCAAAACAGACGAAUGUUAUUGCCCCUUCUGGAUCACUGCUUAUCUUCUGAUCAUACAGUCAGGUAAGUGUUUUCUCUGUACGUAGAGAAAGAACACUUUAAAGUCUCUACACUAAUCCUAGGCUGAACAUUAGUUGCAGUAGCAAAAACACUUUCUAAGCUGGUAUGAAAUGUUUUUCUCUUGUCUGCUUAAGAAACCUUAACCUACUCCCUGGUUGUCAGUUCGUACUUACCUCAAUAAAUGUGAAGUAAUUAUAGUGAUAUGCCUAGAGAUUAUUAUGCAGUUUUCUUUGACAGCUGGGAGCAGCUGCGCUAUAAGCAGAGAAAGAAAGAAAGUGAAGAAUCAAGGCUUCCUAGCUAGACCAAUGCACAUCAUGUGUUCCCUGGAGAAACUAAUUUCUCCUGCUAUUUCUCAUUGCAUGGCUUACCCAGCAUGUCUCAAGCCACAUCUAAUUAUCAUGUCUACCUUUCAUUUAGGCCAAAGAGGCACUAUUAUACUGGACAAAGCAUGCAUCCUAUUUCUACAUUGAUAGCAUUACUUCUCCUCUUCUAUCUGAGUUUUUACCAAAUCUGUUUCUUCAGCUGUAUCUCACCUGACUCACAGCUUGGCAUGUGAAUGCACGUUUCUAGCUCACUAAAGUGGCUUCCAGUGCUUCUGAUACUUUCUUACGACACUUACAGAAUACAUUUAUUAUUUAUGUUUCUAUUAUUUUCUUGCUACCUUCUUUUUUCUAUGCUCUUUCUCCUAUCACCUGUUUGGAGACAAAGUAGGCAUCAAAACUUGGUCUCUUAACCAUUUCUCUCAGCGCUAUGCUAUUAAAGUGUGACUUGUAUAGUGUAGACAAAUAUAGAUGUAGACAAAAGAUUUACAAAAUGUGGUACACAUAGAUCUUGAACUCACUCUGAAGCAUAAUGCAAGAUUUCUUUUUCCUACUCUACCUGUUAAACCUAUUUGCCUUUGCUAAACAGUAUACCUUAGCUUUUGAAGAUACUUGCUUGAGAACUAGCACAUGUAGAGGACAGUAUGAAAGACUAGGACAGCUUUGGUAUUUGGAGAACUCAAAAAAAAACACACCAACAAACAACCUCAAAAGAAAACACCGUAGUUGUGUAGUGCUUCUUUACAGAACUUGUGUUAGUUGCUAUGAGUGGAAUAUAUAUGUUAGAGAGGACAGACAGCUCUUUUCCUGUCCACUGCUUUGAAUCAUUCUUUCACACUACCUGGUUCACCUUUUAGCAUUCUGAAUUUGGAGUGGACAAAUCUGAGACACCUCACAUAAAAGACAGGCAUACAAAGCUCUGCCAUUGUUUUUGAAAAUGAAUGACUAUUAUUCUUUUCCUUUUGAAUUCCAGAAGUGCCUUCAAUAUCAUGUUUUAGUUGUAACUGGGAGAAAAGCCAACGAGCAAGACCAGGAAGAGACUGGAAUUAACAUCAUUUUAUGAUUCCAAGGAGCCACUAGCCUUAUAAGGAUUCUGCUCUGACAUACUAGGGAAGGCAGAUCUACCCACACUGAAACCUCUCCUAUUUUCUCCCUAUUUCAAUGUCUCCUAAAAAGUUAAAAGCAGGUAGGCCUGUGGAUGAUGCAACUCUCAGGACCAAGCCUCCUUUUCCUAAAGUCAGUCUAGCAUUUGCCAAAGGGUUAAAGAAACCUUGCCUUUUUGAGAAAUUAGGAGUUUUGCUAAUUAAUCACUUUAACAUUUAUCUCUAAGGGAAGAGAUCUCUGGAUUCCCCUAGGUACUCCAAAGGAUUGGAAGCAAGGACAGAAGAUUCAGGAUGUAAAAGUAAGUAUAUAAAGCUGCAUUUUCUGUAUCUAGAAUACGAUUUCAGAGUCAGCUCUUUUCUCUUUAGACUUUUGUCAAGUCUUCAUUGAUUUUGAUACCAAAUAAUUUUUGUUAACAAUGGCACUUGAUGCCGUACAUACCAGGAAACAUCUUUAUCUUGGACAAAACCAUUCUUAAUUAAGGCUCCUAUAUCCAAAGUCACCUUGUGCAAUUUCAGUUUAAGCUGAAUGUCUCGUCUGUACUAUGCCCUGUAGCAUUCCUUGAAUACAUGAAGAGAGGCAGACACCUCUAGGGCUGAGCCACUUGCAUCAGGAGAGGUUAUCAAUUAAUUCUGUACAGUCUCACAACACUGCAUAUAUGUUAAGUGGCAUAGCUGUGGACUGUACUCCCAAAUGCUAGAUGCUUACCUAUAUUAAGUUGGUAUCAACGACAAACAGUUUUAGAUAUAGAAGUACACCAUCCCCACACCAAAUCUCAAGAAAAGGUAGGUACCGUUACUGAAUUCUAGCAAAAUUUUAAUGUUUUGUUCUAAGGAAAGUAAAGAUCAUGCAGGCCAGUUUCUUAGGUAUGACAGCUUUAGCUUAGAUACUCACUUUUUUGUUGCUUAUUAAAUCAUAACAACUUCCUGUACUCUUUGGUAGUCACACAAGCAACAUCUAAGGCUUGUUUUUGCUGCUUACUGUAUUGACAAGUUAUAUGGAUUGUGUUUCUAUUCUUUCAAUACUAAAAUACUCUCUGAGAUAGUAACUCUGUCUUGCCAGGCAUGGAGGAGUGCAAAAUAUUCACUGAUACGUGAAAUUUUAGACAAUUCUGUAGAUGUGUACUUUUCACUUACCUUCAUAGAUCAGGGAGUAUUUCGAAGUGAUCUAGCUGAUAAGUAGCAGUUUCAACACCAGUCAGAAGGAAGCUGUUUCAGCAGUGAUGGCUACUUGAUCUCCGGCUGUUGCUGCUGUUCAAAUGAUGAUUGUUUUCAAUUGGAUGGUGCCUGCUGACCUCUAACCCCUUGAAAGGAAGAGAAGUGAAGGCAUAGAAAGUAGGGUAAGUAGACUUGUUUCUUAGAUGGAUGCAUACCCCCAACCCAUGCCUCAAAAGGUUAAAAUAACAUAAGAUAGAAAAGUUAUUAAAGAGAAGAAAGUGGAGGCCAGUGCUUAUUUUAGCAGUCCCUAGCUAAAACCAAACUAACUUGCGUAUGUGACAGAUACAAAUAAUACAUCAGCCUUCUAAACUUUGGAAAAAAACCUGUUCUUUCCCCAGUACAAAGGGCUGUCCCUUCAGUUGCCGUAUUUUAAAACAAGACAGAGUAAAUCGAGAAAAGGCAAGGAGUCCUGUAUUUGAUGGGUACCAUAGGACUACGUAGUAUUUACAGGCUCCCACUUUUUCCUACACACAUAUAAUAUGAUGGACUCUCUCUGUGGCUAUUGAGGAGCAAGUUAUAGAAAACUUUUUGGGGGUGGUGGUGUGGAGGCAGAGAUUGUGUUGAGCAAAAAGUUGGGUGGGACUUAUUCACUUUCACCAUUCAGACUUUUCAGUCUCUAUUGACAUCUAUACAUAAAAACAGAAGUUAUGGUAUUAAUUUUGUUCUUGAAUUAUGAAUAGGUUAUACAGGUAUAUCUCCUUCGUGAUUCAAACACGCAAGGAAAGAUCUAGUCUUGGGCAUCUACUCUCAAGAGUCUUGAAUGUUUUAAUAACAAGUGACAGGAAACGUAGCCUGCAGAAAAAGUUGAUGGAAUAGAAAACAGUACAAUGUCUAAAGUGGACACAGUAUAUUAGGGUACGUUUCCCUUAACCCAGGCAUAAGUAGAACAUGAAAAGUUACAAAAGUUCUUUACCUGAUAUCAUGCUUUCUUCUUCUGUCCUGUAAGACUGGGCCUGUUCAGUUGUAGUUCCACAAGAAUGAACCGUCUAUAUUUUCUCUUCUUGUAGCUGCUAGGUAUAUACGAAGUAUAUACAAUAAGUCAUUUGCAGUUGUUAUAAUUGCCAACAGCAUUGUCUUAUGAACUGAUAACUCAUUUACUUAAACAUUACUUCUAAGUGGAGUAGAUUAGAACUUAAGUCCAUUUUUUUGUGUGUGCACUAUAAUUACUGACUUAGUGAUGCUGGUUAACCAAUAAGGUAAAUGACAUUUAUGAAUACACACAACCAAUCAAUUUUCUCUAUCAGUCAGUAACUACAGUGACUUGCAGGAAAAGUUGGGAAGGCAGUGCUGGAACAAGUCUCUUCAAGGAGGACAAAAAGAAAUCUGUGGAGUUCUUACCUUACAAUUCAUCCUCAUACUCAGAUUUUCAGUCCUUUCAUAUUUAACUGUCAGGAUUUUUCUAAGGACUCCUGUUUUAAAACACUUUCCUCUGCAGUAUCUCAGUUUCAAGCCAAUGGCUUUUAAUCACAUGCCUAACUUUCUUAAUCACACGGUUACCAUUCGUUAAGAAAAAUUCCAGUCAUUAAUGGAGCCUACUUGAAGGUAUUUACUAUAUUUUGAUCUGACGUACAUAUCUUACAAGAGGAGGAUAGACCUGUUGGAAAAAGAUAGAGCUGUUAAAUGAUCUUUAGUCUUGAAGAGAGGAUUUUAGCUGUGAGUACAACAUUCUAUAAUUUUAUUAGUCAAAUGGGAGAAGUACAAAGAAUGAACAAGAACUAAAUGUGACUUCAAAUCUUUGUAUGCAUAAAUCUAAAAAGUAAGCUGAAUGCAACCUAAAGAGAAGGCUAACUCUUGUUCUACUUAUUUUAGAGUAUAUAUAAACCAAUUCAAACAGUAAGUACACUUUUGCCUAUGUUUCUACAGUAAGACCAAGGUAGAGCUCACUGUAGAAGCUUUUUUACUGCAUGCGUCUUGGAUAUGAAUUUUUCCCAACACAAUAUACUCAGAGCCUGUUCCAGUUCCCCUUUUUGGGCUCCGUCUCAAUUUAUUAGCUGUGUUCCUUGUGACUGGAAUAAGCAAGUCUUGAGCCAAAUGGCUGUCCUAAAGCCCUAAUUAUCUUCAAAUUUGGGCCAAAGUGCUUAUUGGUCUACAUAUUAAAGACAAAAACAACCAAAACCUCAAGAUUUAGGGAUACUCAUUCCUUUUUUCAGCUGAAACUUGUUAAGACUAGUACUUUGUGUUUGUUUUUUUUUCUUUUCCCUCAGAAGCUUGAUUGUUAAAUAGAUAUAAGUAAAUUUGCUAGACAUUUGACAACGUUAUUUCCAUCUUCCACCAUAUUAGGAAGAUGCGUCUGCUGCCACAGUUUGCUGUACUAGAAACAGAGUCAAUUACAGAAGGAAAUUAGAAGUUGACACAAAGGUCGGAGAGUAGGUGAACAAGGGAAGAGAAGUUCUGAAAUUACAGAGCUCUUGCAAUUAAGGUCUGAUAGUCCUUCUUUUAUGGGUCAUGGGAGCUGUGGCAGUUUUGAUAAAUGAUUUAACUUUUAUAACAGAUCUAUCAAGGAUAGCAAUGGCAGAGGAAAAAGUUCUCUUUACAAAAAUCACUUACAAGAAAGGAGUCACAAAGUUCCUUCAGCUUCCUUAACCUCAUUGAAUCUGGGUAAUUCAACUGCCACUCUCAGCCUCAAAGUUCUUAUUCUAGGAACACAUCUAAUAUUUGCCAAACCACUGGUAAAUCUAUAUACUGUCACAUUUGACAAAAGAGUGUAAGUUUCAAAUUACAGCACAAGUAACUCCUGAUUUAGGAUGCAAAACACGAAAUAAUACAUCACACUAGCUUUAAUGAAAAUCAAACCCCACAGAAAUUCUAGGCACACCUCAUAUACCACAUCCUCACCUUCCAGUGGUGCUCUGCGUAAAACACUCCCCAUGCUCUGGAUUUUGGUUCUGUUUAGAAACUGAUAAUAAUAAAAAAAAAAUUAAUAGCAUCCUUAUACUACUAAGUUGGUCGUAAUACUCUUGUGCGUUGUCUUACUUUGGAUUCAUAUUGCUACUGAAAGGAACUGGUCACUUCACUGUAGAAGGAACUAUACUUUUCCAUUAUUACAAAGUUCCAGACAAACAGAACUGAAUUACUGUUCUUUCUGAAGGACAGAAAGAAGUGGGUGGGGAGCAAGGAUUACAGUUAAAUGCUGACCUAAAAAUAAAAAUAAGUCCCACAACCAAAAAAACCCUUCCUUUCCCUUUUAGCUAAACAGAAUAAUCUGUGCAUUUUUACAAUAGCUGUACUUACUUUUGUGGAUUCAUUGUGUGGAAGCUUGCCUCUUUAAAGCAUUAGACAAAACUAUAAUGCAGCAGAAUCUAGGGCUGCGUUAGGUGUGAAUCAUUUUCAUAAUAAAAAGGUUAAAAAAAAAAAGUCUGUCAAGCCCUGAUAAAACAUAAAGCAUAUUUCAAGACUAAGGAAAAGAUCUUGACUAAAGUGACAAAGACAUGCAGCAUGCUGCAGUAGUAUAUUUGCAAUCUACCUGGGAACUCUUCUUAAUGUUAAGCAUCACAAGGCAGAGUCAGAGAGAAAAAAACAUUAUUAAAUGAAUUAAGUUCAUGAACUUAUAAACCCAUACAACAGGACAACCUAAAUACAGUACUAUUUUUCCAAGAGUCCUUGAGACCGAUCAGUUUAAAUUCUGAAAUUUAUUUCAAGUCUUUCUCAUCCCAGGUGUAAGAUUGAGAGUUUCUUUUUUUUUUUUGUAUGUUCACUUAUAAAUGGCACUCUACUGUGAAGCAGAAGACCCGAGCUGAUUAAGCCUGAGUGCUCUAAUUUCUUGAAGCAAAGGGUGAGUACUGCUUUUUUCCCCUCAUGCCUUCCAUAGUGCUCUGGGUGAACACUAGAAGAAACAGAGUGCUCAGCUUUCAAGGCAGUUGCCAUCUUAAACACCAAUGCACAGAACAGCUAAAAAGCACUUUACAGCUCAUUCCAAAGUUCAGUUGUCAAGUCUGUGGAGACUCUUCCUGCUUAUUCUAGCUUCUUUUUGUUUUUCCUUCUUUGACAGAAAACACAGCAUCUAAAAGCUUUCUCUCUCUUCAUCAGUCUAGCAUGUCUCUCCCUAGAGCCUUUUGUCCUCAGGAAGAUGGCAGCGACUUGCAAAAGCCUUCAGCCACACCAGGGAGGGGAGGAGAUAAAACAUACCCUGUGUGUGAUAAAGCCAGGGGCAGGAAGAGGGCACCCACUGUCAGUGGAGCCUGCACAGUGUCCCAAUAAGUUCAAACAGGAGAAAAAAGAAACAAGACUUCAUAUUUUUCAGAUUUGCAGCUUUUAAUACCUCCAGAAGCCUCAGCAAACACCUCUGAGCAGGAAGCAGAGCAGAGUUGGUAUUUGCUGUAAAAGUUAAAUUGAGCUCCAGAGGACAGAUGAGAAUUAGUCCAAAAAGGCAUUCUUGACACAAAGUGUUAGCUAAAAUCACAAAAGUCAAGGUGGGAUAUUUGUUGUCACAGGACUGCUGUACCCCGAAACACACAUGCACACCUGCAGAGAUACCUGAAUCUUGCCUGUGGCACCUCAAUCACCAAACUUGUCAAUAAAAAAAUGAAACAGCA